UACAGAGACUGCAAGCGUUAUUCGGAUUCACUGGGCGUAAAGGGUGCGCAGGCGGUUGGGUGUGUCAGAUGUGAAAUCCCCGGGCUUAACCUGGGAACUGCAUUUGUGACUGCAAGGCUAGAGUGUGUCAGAGGGAGGUGGAAUUCCGCGUGUAGCAGUGAAAUGCGUAGAGAUGCGGAGGAACACCGAUGGCGAAGGCAGCCUCCUGGGAUAACACUGACGCUCAUGCACGAAAGCGUGGGGAGCAAACAGG
rnacentral:rRNA from 1 species